rnacentral:sRNA from 1 species
UUGGAGUGUCGUUAAAGUUGUGUAAACCUU